rnacentral:rRNA from 1 species
GUGGGGAAUCUUGCGCAAUGGGCGAAAGCCUGACGCAGCCAUGCCGCGUGAAUGAUGAAGGUCUUAGGAUUGUAAAAUUCUUUCACCGGGGACGAUAAUGACGGUACCCGGAGAAGAAGCUCCGGCUAACUUCGUGCCAACAGCCGCGGUAAUACGAAGGGGGCUAGCGUUGCUCGGAAUUACUGGGCGUAAAGGGCGCGUAGGCGGACAGUUUAGUCAGAGGUGAAAGCCCAGGGCUCAACCUUGGAAUUGCCUUUGAUACUGGCUGUCUUGAGUACGGGAGAGGUGAGUGGAACUCCGAGUGUAGAGGUGAAAUUCGUAGAUAUUCGGAAGAACACCAGUGGCGAAGGCGACUCACUGGCCCGUUACUGACGCUGAGGCGCGAAAGCGUGGGGAGCAAACAGGAUUAGAAACCCCGGUAGUCC